CCUACGGGGGGCAGCAGUGGGGAAUAUUGGGCAAUGGGCGCAAGCCUGACCCAGCAACGCCGCGUGAAGGAAGAAGGCCCUCGGGUUGUAAACUUCUUUUAUCAGGGACGAAGAAGUGACGGUACCUGAUGAAUAAGCCACGGCUAACUACGUGCCAGCAGCCGCGGUAAUACGUAGGUGGCAAGCGUUAUCCGGAUUUACUGGGUGUAAGGGGCGUGUAGGCGGGGAAGCAAGUCAGAUGUGAAAUUCCAGGGCUCAACCCUGGAACUGCAUUUGAAACUGUUUUUCUUGAGUGAUGGAGAGGCAGGCGGAAUGCCGGGUGUAGCGGUGAAAUGCGUAGAGAUACGGAAGAACACCAGUGGCGAAGGCGGCCUGCUAGACAUUAACUGACGCUGAGGCACGAAAGCGUGGGGAGCAAACAGGAUUAGAUACCCUGGUAGUC
rnacentral:rRNA from 1 species